AGGUAUAGUCUGUGUGACUGGUCUGAGAUGGGCAAAUCAAGCUAUCCAUAGUACUGCUGGUCUGGGGGAGAAUUCAGAGCCGCUGCUGGGGUCACUGGAGGGAUGCCCAGAGUAAAAGACCUCCGAAUCUGCUCUCAACCAAGGGGAAGUGAAUUGGUCUCCUUGUUCCUGUGGCAGCCAUGGACCCCUAUGAUUGGGUGGUCCUCUAGAGGCACUGACACUGAGCCUGAAGGGAAGCUCCCAUCUCUGAUCCAUGAGUGCCUCCAGCCUGGCAGGACCUGGCUCUUCUGAUUAGCAGCAGUUCUUAGAAGCACUGGGAGCCUGGGACUGAGGGCACAGUUCUGGGAGUCCUCUUUCCACGUGAAACAACUCUGAAAAUAAUGAAUGAGGGAAGAGAGAAGAAGAGAAGCCAGAGAUGAGCAGAGCAGCUUUGGGUGUACUUCAAACUCUUGUUAUUCAUGUUUUCUCUCACUUUGGAGAUUGUUUACCCUGAGAAUUCAGUGCUGUUACCAGCUUCUUUUAUCAGGACUUCAGCAAUACAGGCUGCUGGAAGAGCCAUUAAACCCAAGUUGUUAUUCUCCUUGCCUUUCAGCACAAAGUGCUGCCCGUAGCAAUGGCAAUAAUCCAGAAGAAAUGUACUCUUAAAGGGAAAGCAGGAAAGUCUCAGGAUAACAUGUGAGACUGGGUGGGUGGGCCCUGUGCUACUGAUGGGUGGCACUGGGGACUGUGCAUGUUCUGCAAGCAUCACUGAGAAAAGUGCUUGAGGAGUUGGGAUCCAUAAGAGAGCAGGACUGAGCACUUAUUGUCUUGAGCGUGGAUUCUGUAGUGGAGACAUCCAUAGCUCCAGAACACAAACUCAAAGCAAUGUCAGCUCGCUUUUUCAAAGAGAAGUGUGCUUCUAACCGAAUUAUACCGUGUCUUUCUUUCCAUCCAUUCCCAAGAUUAGUUCAUGUCAGGUUCUGGCAGCUCUGAUUGCUGCAUCAUCUCUGUGCUGUGAUUCAUUGCUCAGUGUGAGUCACAGAGCCUUGUAAGGAGAGGGAGCAUGCAAGCUGACUUCUGUGCGUCCAAAUGGCAGACAAAUGUUUGAAUUACAGAUCACAAUUAACUGCUAAUUGGCCAUAAUGUAAGCCCCUUCCGAAUGGACGUUGUAAAUAUUGAAAUAAACAGCUUGUUAUUUUUCAGACC
rnacentral:lncRNA from 7 species